UAGUUUUUUACUUAUAAUAUUCAAGAUAAAUUUACUUUUAUAGUAUUGCAUGAGUCUGUAGAAUGUCGGAUCAAUCUGAUCCUAUUGUUGAUGACUAUUUUUCAAAGGAUGAGAGAAGUUGAGAGUUCAAUUUGUGAAAAUAACCAGCAUGAAAUAAGAAAAAAAAUUUAAAAAAAAGAAAAGAAAAAUGAAAGAUGAAUCUGAAGUCAUAAAACCAAAGAAAACUCAAAACGAAAAGUUGUACAAUGGAGGGUUUUACAUACCUCAUAAUUUGAAGAAUAGUCAUCAACAAUAGGAUCAGAAUGACCCGACAUUCUACAGACUCAUGUAAUAUUAUAAAAGUAAAUUUAUCAUGUAUAUUAUAAGUAAAUAACUAUUAAUAAUUUGAAAAGUUUACACGGCUUUUUAUAGUGGAAAAUAAAUCCUACUUAAAUAAAACUCGUUUAUAUUAAUUGCAUGGUGAAUAAUAUACGUGAUAAUUAUAAUACAAAUUAAGUAUAAAAUAACCAUGUUGUGUUUUAAGAACAUGUAAGAUUAUAGUAAUAACGUGUAAAAAUAAUAUUUAUCAUUAAUAUAAUUUUUUUUAUUUUU